AAGUCGUAACAAGGUUUCCGCUUUAUUGUGGCACGCCUAUCCGUUAGAAAGUGGCAAUCCCUGGUAAAUCAUCGCCGAAAAGUUUUGAUUCAGGGACUUCUGCGUAGGUGGACAACUGCGCGAGCAAGUGACCUGCUUGUUAGUGUCUGAAUGUCACUAGCUCUGUACGGGUGGCGCAAUCACGCUAGAGGCCAACACGGCUGGCCCUCGGCCCCGUAAUCACCUUUGCAUGAAAACGGGCCUGCGCUUAAUUGUGCGGCAAACUCGAACAACUGUUAACAAUGGAUAUGGAUAUCUUGGUU
rnacentral:misc_RNA from 1 species